rnacentral:rRNA from 1 species
AGGACGAACGCUGGCGGCGUGCUUAACACAUGCAAGUCGAACGGUGAAGCCCUUUCGGGGGUGGAUCAGUGGCGAACGGGUGAGUAACACGUGAGCAACCUGCCCUUGACUCUGGGAUAACUUCGGGAAACCGGAGCUAAUACCGGAUAUGACACGCGGAGGCAUCUCCUGUGUGUGGAAAGAUUCAUUGGUCAAGGACGGGCUCGCGGCCUAUCAGCUAGUUGGUGGGGUAAUGGCCUACCAAGGCGACGACGGGUA